AUUACCAUGGCACUUUGAAAAGUUGAACUCCAUGCACACACUCUCACUUUUAAUUUCUUGAUUGUGUUUCAUAUAUGUUUAUAGGACCUAUUCAAAAAAAAUACUCUUGUUAUGAAUUUAAAAUGAUAUUCUCAUGUCACUGAAAACUAGAUUACUAUUUUCAAAACAAACAAUGAGCCAUGGGUUACCUAUGUACAUAGGACAAUUUGAAAAAGUUAGCGAGAAAUCCUGUACCACCAAUAUGUUUUCCUUUUCUACCUUGUUUGUGAGGUAGGUAAUUUUGAGCAACUUUUGUUCUUAGACUCCUGCUGUUUCAUUCUUUUGUACUCUUAUUUUUUUGUAUUUUUAUUUGCUUUUGCCUUGUUGAAUCUUUGUUCUUUUUGCUUGAACUUCCAAUCAUUAAAUAAGCGUUUAGAGAUUGUCUGGAAUAUAUCAGAAAUUACCCUCCCUAUCGAGAAAUUAAAAAGAGAGAUGUGAGCCGGUAACAUGGAAGUUAAACUUUCGCAACUGUCAUGGUAAACUUUACAGAAGCUUGACAGAAAGUUUAACUCCAUGUUGCACUUUUGAUUUCCCGAUAUAUAUAUUAAAAAAAGAGUUAUCUGUGUAAAAUAAAAAAAAAUGUUUAUGAAGGUCUCAUUUGAAAGUCUGAGAACUUAUUUUUCCUUUUGUGUUUAAGAAAUUUCGCAUGCCGCAUGCCAACUUAGUAGGUUUACUGGUCGGUCGUUUUAGAAGACACCCGAUUUCGUUGGCUGAUUACUCAUAUUGAGAACUGUCAAAUUUUUUACAGGGAAAUUCACUCGGAUAGUGUUAGCGCAGCUGAACACUCCAAAAAUUCACCACAAAAAUGAGUUAUAAUAAUUAAAAUUUCGUGACCGUGCAUAACUUCAACUCAACCAAAUUAAGUUAAGCAUGUAUAUUGUACAGUUUGUUUUGGUUUGGUUCCUGCAAAGUUUCACCAGUUUUUUCGUCUGCUGCGAUCGCGUAAAUUUUUUUUGUGUUGCGCCGAUUUUGCAACUGUAAUACUUUGAUUGUCCUGGUUCCCGUAAUACCCAAUCGAGUAUGUACUACAACAUCCUGCCGGUGCUGUUCUACUACGGAAUGGCCAACAGCGAUCAGGAAUACGAGAUGCGCUUCCGGGCGGAGAUUGUGGUGCUGCCGAAGAACGGUCACUUUGCUCUGUCGGCCGCGACCGGAGUGCUUGCCGGCGAUCACGACUGUCCCAUUUCCUGACUACUUGGUUGCAUAUUCCGGGUCAGGUCACGGAGGAGCAGACGAAGUUAGGUCUGGAGAACUGGUUCGAUGAGUACAACGCUCGCGAGCUCCGUCAGAUUUGGGAAGCUAAAACGGCCACGUACAACCAGCUGCGAACGAUGAGCAGCAAGCUGGACGACAUGCAGAACUUGCUGAACAAAAUGCGCGAUGGAAUGAACCAGGUGAAGCAGGGCGUGGCGAGCGUUAAGCAGAGGAUGCAACAGUCGCAAUCGCAAGCCAAUGUGCAAUGCCAGAACUGACGGCCUUCCUGAUGACGAUCGUGAUGCACCUGCUGGUAAUAGUCGCGUACAACAUGUAUAGCCGAUUGCUGAGCCGCACAGGCAAAAAGUUCUACUAGAGACUAUACUUUCCGGCCAGCUGUCUGUACGCGCCAAGGUUGAUUGCGUCCAGUGCUUUGCGAAGCGGUAUACAAUUGUAGUCGUGAGGAGGCAGCCGGCGCGGGACAAGAAGUACUCAAUAUCAAGCCGACGAAUCAGAAACUGAAGUAAGAAACGUUCCAUUGUAAGGACCUUCGACGCGACCGAAAUUGCUGAGAUUUGCAUCUCGAAGUCUUCCACCUCGGCAGCAGCUGUAAUCGGUGUUUGGUUCACUCUAUCGGCUCAGGAAUCCCAAAACUCCAGCUGAAUUAAGCAACAAGCACCCUCUGGCCAACGAAGAGGAUUUGCCCUAGUUGGUGAUUGGUUUCGAACCGUGCAACUAUCAUUAGCCGCCGAGCUGCUUUCCGGUACAACCCGUGACUUUUUCAGCACAACACGAGCGGCAAGCGAAAUCGUAGAACUGAUGGUGGCACUUUUGUUUACUUUGGUUUAUUUUUCAGAUUCGCAGAGACCGUUCACGGACGUGGGAUGUCUGGAACAUCGUUCAAGCGCCACAAACUGUUAUUCAUCGUGGAAAAGCGUUCAACGGCGACGGCACGGAUCGACACAUUGCGACGACAAGUUGUGCUUCAGACGCCAUAGAAAAGUUCACAAACAUCGUUUCUGACCAUUCUUACUAUGGUCAGUUGAUGACCAUUCAAUAUAAAUUGUAAGUAAAAGAAUUUUUUUCUUAACAAACUUUACUUUACUGUGAAUUAUUUAACAAAAAGCCUUUAAUUUAAAUACGCUCAUAUUCAAGGUGUAAGUUGGAGUGGGUAAAAAUACGUUUUAUCAUUUUUUCAAACCUCGUUGGAUUUAGAUUUUGAUAAAUUUUUCGAAAGCUUUGAUUUGUAUUGUUUUCUGCACUUUGAAUUGCACGCUUUUGUUUUGUGUUGAGCGUGAAUCAAAUCAAUAUAAAACCGUAAGCAUGUGUUUCAAAAUGUUCGUGCCAAAACAAAUCGCAAUGCUUUUGAAAAUUACAUCAGAUUCUAGAUUCAACGGGGUAAAAAAAUUUACAGCUUUCUUAAAUUUACGUAGAUUUCAUCGGAAAUUUACAUGUUUUGAAGUCUCUUUUGCUUCGGGUCAUUUACGUUGGAUGACAUGUAAAUUUAAAAUGAAACUCAUUUAAAUUAGCAUCAUUAAUGACGUGCACUUUUGGUACAUCAUAAAUGAUGUAAAUUUACCGGAUUAUUUUUUUCUG